rnacentral:rRNA from 1 species
GACGAACCACACAAACGUUAUUCGGAAUUACUGGGCUUAAAGGGUGCGUAGGCUGCGCAGAAAGAUUGGGUGUGAAAUGCCUACGGCUCAACCGAGGAACUGCGCCCAAAACUACUGUGCUUGAGGGAGAUAGAGGUGAGCGGAACUUAGGGUGGAGCGGUGAAAUGCGUUGAUAUCCUAAGGAACACCCGUGGCGAAAGCGGCUCACUGGAUCUCUUCUGACGCUGAGGCACGAAAGCUAGGGUAGCGAACGGG